rnacentral:tRNA from 1 species
GUAAGUAUAAUUUAACUAAAAUAUCAGAGUGUGGAUCUGAAAACAAGGGUUUAAACCCCUUUACUAACC